AAUCUUAGACAAUGGGGGAAACCCUGAUCUAGCCAUGCCGCGUGAGUGAUGAAGGCCUUAGGGUCGUAAAGCUCUUUCGCCAGGGAUGAUAAUGACAGUACCUGGUAAAGAAACCCCGGCUAACUCCGUGCCAGCAGCCGCGGUAAUACGGAGGGGGUUAGCGUUGUUCGGAAUUACUGGGCGUAAAGCGUACGUAGGCGGAUUAGUCAGUUAGGGGUGAAAUCCCAGGGCUCAACCCUGGAACUGCCUCUAAUACUGCUAGUCUUGAGUUCGAGAGAGGUGAGUGGAAUUCCGAGUGUAGAGGUGAAAUUCGUAGAUAUUCGGAGGAACAUCAGUGGCGAAGGCGGCUCACUGGCUCGAUACUGACGCUGAGGUACGAAAGUGUGGGGAGCAAACAGGAUUAGAUACCCUGGUAGUCCACACCGUA
rnacentral:rRNA from 1 species